rnacentral:rRNA from 1 species
CGGUAAUACGUAGGGUGCAAGCGUUAAUCGGAAUUACUGGGCGUAAAGCGUGCGCAGGCGGUGAUGUAAGACAGAGGUGAAAUCCCCGGGCUCAACCUGGGAACUGCCUUUGUGACUGCAUCGCUGGAGUACGGCAGAGGGGGAUGGAAUUCCGCGUGUAGCAGUGAAAUGCGUAGAUAUGCGGAGGAACACCGAUGGCGAAGGCAAUCCCCUGGGCCUGUACUGACGCUCAUGCACGAAAGCGUGGGGAGCAAACAGGAUUAGAUACCCUGGUAGUCCACGCCCUAAACGAUGUCAACUGGUUGUUGGGUCUUCACUGACUCAGUAACGAAGCUAACGCGUGAAGUUGACCGCCUGGGGAGUACGGCCGCAAGGUUGAAACUCAAA